UCCAGAGUGGUGUAGUGGUAGCAUCCUAAGAGGUAACGCGAGGGUGCCCUUCGGGGGUCCGGGUUCGAUUCCUGGCUUUGGAA